ensembl:lncRNA
GGACAGCGUGCCACAAAAACAUUGGUACGGAACCAUCAGAACCAUCCCUGGCUGUGAAAUGCGGGAGGGCCAUGCCAGCGCAUCCCAAGGGAAGGUGUGAGGAUUAAAUGAGAUCGGAUAUGAAGAGCACUGAGAACAUACGAACGCGAGGGGGACAUGACAAGGCUCUAAAGCACGAUAUAAACUACGCGUGUGUAUAAGCAUUUGCUGUUAUUAAUGGCCACAGACGAACACCAGCAACUAGGAAGUUGGGCUGUAGAAGACCCUUUAACGAGAUGGGAAAAUGUCUGGGACAUAUUGCUAACUGAAGAAAAACAGACUUUUGACCCUGGAGCUGGCCAGCAGCUAAUCAAGAACAAAGGAUUCGUCUGUCUCCUGGAUCAGUCCCUGGGGAUGGCCUGCCUGUCCGAAGGCCGGGUGCUGGCAGCAGACUGCAGCCCAGGAGGACGUUUCUGUCAAAGUUCACCUGACCUUUCUGGGGUCAAGCCCUGGCGUUGGCACUUGCUAGCUGUGUGUGGCCUUGGGCUACCCCCUUUACCUGCCUGAGCCUCAGUUUCCCCAUCUUUAAGAAGGAAGAGAUGGUCACAGUCUGGACCCCAAAGGGCCAUGCCAAGACUUAGAUGAAAUGAGGCAUUCCAGGUCUGGCACAGAGACAUUGGCCAACAACAUCCAAUGAUCCUGACUACUCUUGAUUUGUUCCCACCCACGGUUGGCAUCUUUUUCUGCCUCUGGUUUGGGGAGAAUCAGGAGUCCCAGCACAAUCUCAUGGCACCUCCCAGUAAUCGUCAUAUUGUAUGGUAUGGUAUUCUGGUCCAUACAUGCAUGGACAGGUGGAACAUUAAAACCAGAGGAUGAGCAGUGGUGGUUGGGAAGGGGACAGGGGGGACACCUCCGGCACCCUCGGGGUGAUCUUCAUUCUCGGGAAUGACCACCCCCAGAGAGGGCAAGGAAAUACAGCUAUGAGUUGUUGAAGACCAGUGAGGCACUAGGGACCCCCAAACACCUUAGUCACCUUUGCCCCAGUCUUCGGAAGUAGGAAUUGUGUUGGUGACAUUUUACAGGUGAGGAGAAAGGGACACAGAGCCAUCCUCAUGAAGCAUAUGGUCUGUUCUGGUUGCUACUGCUCUGUAACAAACCACCCCAAAACCUAGUGGCUUAAAACGGGUGUUAUGGACUAAAUGUUUGUGCCCUUCAGUUCAUACAUGAAAGCCCUAAUCUCCAGUGUGGCUGUAUUUGGGGUAAGGAAGUAAUUAAAAUUAAAUGAGAUCAUAAGGGUGGGACCCUGAUCCCACUGGAUUAGUGUCCUUAUAAGAAGAGUCACCAGAGGGUUUUCUCAUUCUCUCCCCCCCCACCCCACCCCCAGCCCCCUGCCAUGCGAGGACGCGGUGAGAAAGAACACGGCUCUCCCCAAAACUUGACCUUGUUGGCACUCUGAGCUCAAUUUCCAGCCUCCAGUAUUGUGAGAAAUAAAUUCCCAUGAUGGAAGGCACUCAGUCUUUGGUAUUUAGUUUCGGUAGCCUGAGCAGACUAAGACACGGGGCUUGGCACACUUUCUCUGUAAAGGACAAGAUGGUGAGUAGCGUAGGCUUCAUGGGCCAUGUGGUUUCUGUCAAAACUCUUCAGCCCUGACACUGUAGUGUGAAAGCGUCCGUGGCUGUGUGUACACGGGCGGCAUGGUUGUCCCAGUCAAACUUUGUCCCUAAAAACAAGCAUUUGGCCCCCGGCUGAGUAGUUUGCAUGAGCUCUGCCUGGCUUAACAUAAUAGGAGUCAUUUAUUUUGUUCAGAAAUUGAAAUUAUGAUGGAAACCAGUAUCCAUUGAUGGAUGAAUGGAUGGAUGAAUAAAAUGUGGCAUAUAUUAUAUAUGUGUGUGUGUGUGUGUGUGUGUAUAUAUAUAUAUAUAUAUAUAUAUAGUGGAAUAUUAUUAAGCCAUAAAAAAAUAAAUCUCACCAUUUGCAAUAAGAGGGAUGGACCUUGGGGGCAUU